rnacentral:lncRNA from 1 species
CGCACCGGUGGUGCGGCGUGGCGUCGAGCAUGAGAAGGAAGAAGGGGGGAGUGGUGGCCUGGGAGGAGCGAGGUUGGGCCAAGUGGGCUUGAUGGCCUGCUAAGUUACGUAUAUGUGGAGAGGAGGCGCAGGUGGAUUGGGCCGAAAGAGGGCUAGGCUGGAAUCUGGGGUUGGCAGCCCAGGAGGUUAAAAAUGGUUUUUGGUUUGUUUGAUAAGGGUUUUUAAAUCCAAAUUUGAAAUAGAUUUUGAAUUUGAGUAGAGUUUGGAUUAGGGCUUGGGGUAGAUAUAGGAGUGGGGCAUUUUGGAAUAAUUUGAAAUGUAGAAAUGUUGGGGUAUGGCUAGGGUUGAAUAGGAUCUUUAUAGGGAUUUGAUUUGGGAAUUAAUAUUCGAAUUAGAUUUGAAUAUUAAUCCUAGGAUUUGGAAGAAGAAGGGUUUGGAAAUUCUACCUCUAGGAUUUAGAAGAGGGGUGCUUAGGAAAUAACCAAGUGCAACACAGAUGGUCGUAUUCAUGCAAGGGUUAUUUGUAAAUAGAGUUUUGAAUAUCUUUGGGAAGAGAGAUUAUGUUAUAAUGAAUUUUUUUAAAAAAGUCCAUAUUUUUUAAAUACACUAAAAUGCGGGAUGUUACGGAAGGAGCCUUGUCUUGUUGCCUUCGAGGUGAAUUUUUCUUCUAACCAUAUAACUCUAGCCACCAUGGAUGCAAUGGGCGCGGGCGGUGGUGAUGAAAGACAUCUGGACCUGAACCUCUCCAUGUGGCCUUCCAUGGAGCUGGAGCCACAGUGAUACUUCUCCUGCUCCUACACCGGUGAAGGGACCGUGACACCCUAAGAGGGGGGGGGUUGAAUUGGGUGUUCUAAAAUCUAAGGCUGCAAACACGUAUAAAAAACUAUUCCAAUUGCUAUCUAGUUGUGCACUAGGUUUUCCUAUGUGUUGCUAUCUCUACCGCAAAAGAUGUUUGCACCUAGGUUCCAAUCCUAUAAAUUACACAUGGCAAUGAAAGGUAAACACGGAAUAUAAGUACAAUAAGAAAUGCGAAAGGUAAAUGAGGUAGAGAAGGCAAACUCCCAAAGUGGCGUCACAGUGAUUUUUACGAGGUAUCGGAAAGCAAACCUUUCCACUAGUCCUCAUUGUUGGAGCCCCUCUUAAAGGGAAUGCCCGUGCAAGGGUAUAAACUCCCCGGUCAAGUAACUACAUCAGAUAGACGACAGGCCUUCCCCACGCGCAACUGGGUCUCCGCCUAGCCUCUUCUGGAUGCUCCUUGCUGCAUUUCACUUGGUAGAGCUUGAGCAAAACACCUAGGACCUCUCCUCCCUAUCGCAAGCACCAACGGCCACUUCACAAACUCGGUUGGACGGUCUCGCAAGAUUUACAAGCCCCAACUUUAAAACUCUUGGUGCGCGCAAGCACCGAUACAAAAGAGGUGUGCAAACUUCUCCCUACUCUAGGCUAAACCCUACACCA